rnacentral:rRNA from 1 species
AUUGAACGCUGGCGGCAGGCCUAACACCUGCAAGUCGAACGAGUGGCGGACGGGUGAGUCAUGUCUGGGAAACUGCCUGAUGGAGAGGGAUAACUACUGGAAACGGUAGCUAAUACCGCAUACCAUCGGAUGUGCCCAGAUGGGAUUAGCUAGUAGGUGGGGUAACGGCUCAACUAGGGGACUUUCCCUAGCUGGUCUGAGAGGCUGACCAGCCACAGUGGAACCGGGACACGGUCCAGAUCCCUACGGGAGGCAGAAUUGGGGAAUAUUGCACAAUGGGCGCAAGCCUGAUGCAGCCAUGCCGCGUGUAUGAAGAAGGCCUUCGGGUUGUAAAGUACUUUCAGCGGGGAGGCGUUACCCGCAGAAGAAGCACCGGCUAACUCCGUGCCAGCAGCCGCGGUAAUUC